GUGCAUGCGGGUGCUAUACAUGCAAGUCGAGCGGACCGACGGGAGCUUGCUCCCUUAGGUCAGCGGCGGACGGGUGAGUAACACGUGGGUAACCUGCCUGUAAGACUGGGAUAACUCCGGGAAACCGGGGCUAAUACCGGAUGCUUGAUUGAACCGCAUGGUUCAAUCAUAAAAGGUGGCUUUUAGCUACCACUUACAGAUGGACCCGCGGCGCAUUAGCUAGUUGGUGAGGUAACGGCUCACCAAGGCGACGAUGCGUAGCCGACCUGAGAGGGUGAUCGGCCACACUGGGACUGAGACACGGCCCAGACUCCUACGGGAGGCAGCAGUAGGGAAUCUUCCGCAAUGGACGAAAGUCUGACGGAGCAACGCCGCGUGAGUGAUGAAGGUUUUCGGAUCGUAAAACUCUGUUGUUAGGGAAGAACAAGUACCGUUCGAAUAGGGCGGCACCUUGACGGUACCUAACCAGAAAGCCACGGCUAACUACGUGCCAGCAGCCGCGGUAAUACGUAGGUGGCAAGCGUUGUCCGGAAUUAUUGGGCGUAAAGCGCGCGCAGGCGGUUUCUUAAGUCUGAUGUGAAAGCCCCCGGCUCAACCGGGGAGGGUCAUUGGAAACUGGGGAACUUGAGUGCAGAAGAGGAGAGUGGAAUUCCACGUGUAGCGGUGAAAUGCGUAGAGAUGUGGAGGAACACCAGUGGCGAAGGCGACUCUCUGGUCUGUAACUGACGCUGAGGCGCGAAAGCGUGGGGAGCGAACAGGAUUAGAUACCCUGGUAGUCCACGCCGUAAACGAUGAGUGCUAAGUGUUAGAGGGUUUCCGCCCUUUAGUGCUGCAGCAAACGCAUUAAGCACUCCGCCUGGGGAGUACGGUCGCAAGACUGAAACUCAAAGGAAUUGACGGGGGCCCGCACAAGCGGUGGAGCAUGUGGUUUAAUUCGAAGCAACGCGAAGAACCUUACCAGGUCUUGACAUCCUCUGACAA
rnacentral:rRNA from 1 species